GACGAACCGUGCGAACGUUAUUCGGAAUCACUGGGCUUAAAGCGCGUGUAGGCGGAGGGGCACGUCGGCCGCUGAAAUCCCCCGGCUCAACCGGGGAACGGGCGCCGAUACGACCGCUCUGGAGGGGCGUAGGGGGAUCGGGAACUUCCGGUGGAGCGGUGAAAUGCGUUGAGAUCGGAAGGAACGCCCGUGGCGAAAGCGCGGUCCUGGACGCCCGCUGACGCUGAGACGCGAAAGCCAGGGGAGCGAACGGGG
rnacentral:rRNA from 1 species